GCUCAGGAUGAACGCUAGCUACAGGCUUAACACAUGCAAGUCGAGGGGUAGCAGGGUAGCAAUACCGCUGACGACCGGCGCACGGGUGAGUAACACGUAUCCAACCUUCCCAUAACUCGGGGAUAGCCUUUCGAAAGAAAGAUUAAUACCCGAUAGUACUUUUUUAGGGCAUCUUAGAAAAGUUAAAGAUUUAUUGGUUAUGGAUGGGGAUGCGUUCCAUUAGAUAGUUGGUGAGGUAACGGCUCACCAAGUCUUCGAUGGAUAGGGGUUCUGAGAGGAAGGUCCCCCACAUUGGUACUGAGACGCGGACCAAACUCCUACGGGAGGCAGCAGUGAGGAAUAUUGGUCAAUGGGCGAGAGCCUGAACCAGC
rnacentral:rRNA from 1 species